rnacentral:snRNA from 1 species
AAAGAUGAGCAGGGAAAUACCGUGAUCAACAGGCUUUCUCCAGGUGAAGCCUGUCCCUUGCACGCUGGGCAGGCUGACCACUGUGAGUUUCCCAAAUGCAGGAAACUCGACUACACAUUUUUGUGGUAAGGGGGACUGUGUUUGCACUUUCCUCCU